AGUACAGGAUGGACCCGCGUCUGAUUAGCUAGUUGGUAAGGUAACGGCUUACCAAGGCGACGAUCAGUAGCCGACCUGAGAGGGGGAUCGGCCACAUUGGAACUGAGACACGGUCCAAACUCCUACGGGAGGCAGCAGUGGGGAAUAUUGCACAAUGGGCGAAAGCCUGAUGCAGCAACGCCGCGUGAGUGAUGAAGGCCUUCGGGUCGUAAAACUCUGUCCUCAAGGAAGAUAAUGACGG
rnacentral:rRNA from 1 species